ACUGACCGAAACGUCAUUCCGAUAAAGGCAGAAGCAAAUUCGUUCCCGGAGUCAAGAGGUGAAAAUUGUGUCUGCGUCAAACUUUUCCAAAACCUCUGUCGAUCGCUUUCCGAAGCAGCUCGUUAACUCUUCAACGCUUUAACUCUCCUCGUAACCACCCCAAACUAAACCAGAAUGCCGGCAGCAGCACCCCCCGCAGAGAAUGGGGCAGCCGUCCCAAAGACCGAGCUGCAGGAGCUCCAAAUGAAACAGCAGCAGGUGGUCGAUGAGUCCCUGGACAGUACCCGCCGUAUGCUGGCACUAUGUGAGGAGAGCAAGGAAGCCGGGAUUCGAACCCUGGUGGCCCUUGACGAUCAGGGAGAACAACUGGACCGAAUCGAGGAGGGCAUGGACCAGAUCAAUGCCGACAUGCGUGAGGCUGAAAAGAAUCUGAGCGGCAUGGAAAAAUGCUGCGGUAUCUGUGUCUUACCGUGCAACAAGAGUGCAUCCUUCAAAGAGGACGACGGUACCUGGAAGGGCAACGAUGACGGCAAGGUGGUAAACAACCAGCCCCAGCGAGUGAUGGACGAUCGCAACGGAUUGGGCCCGCAGGCUGGCUACAUCGGAAGGAUCACGAACGACGCCCGGGAAGAUGAGAUGGAGGAGAACAUGGGCCAGGUGAACACGAUGAUCGGUAAUCUGCGAAACAUGGCGCUCGAUAUGGGCUCCGAGCUGGAGAACCAGAACAGACAGAUCGACAGAAUCAAUCGCAAGGGCGGAUCAAAUGAGGACAGGAUAAAGGCGGCCAAUGAAAAAGCGCACUCGCUUCUCAAAUAAAAAGGGUACCGAGUAUAUAUAUAGCAGUGCAUAUAUACAAUAUACACACCUCUAUCUAUACAUAUAUAUACAUAUACUUGUAUGGUUAUCGUUAUUAUUUUACCUCCUCCAUUUCGGAUAUCGAAACGAACACAGACGAACAAAUGGAGAUUCCAACGCCACCAGGAUAGCGGCUGCUAACGAACGGGCUCACGAUCUGCUGAAGUAAGCUGUUUACACACAACCCAACUCACUCGAAGGCGGUGUAACCGUUGCGAUGGAGGGAUGUUAGACGUCACAGACAACGCGGGCGGGCAGGAACUGAGCAGUGUAAACUUGGUUGGUUUUUGUUCUCGUUACUGUUGAUGUGCAGUUUUGUUCGCAGCUGGAAAGCGCCAACCGCCAACCCACGGCAGGUGCGCUUGAGAAUAACCACGAAAUCCACCUAUUGAGUUUGAGUUUUACAGCAAAGCGGGUUCGUUCAGUGGACAUGAAAACAUAUACACAAUACACAUAUACACACAAACACACACUGGAGCAAUUGUAUGGUGGGAAGGAAAACUCUUUCAACCGGACGUUAGACUGCUUCUCGCAUUUAAAUGGGGCGUAAUAUGGCAAGCGCGGCAAGCGAGAACACAGGCAAGGAAUCAAAAAUGUGUAUGCGUGUGAAUCAGCGCCACCGGCUUGCUGGAUUAGUGUAAGCGAAACGCUUUAGGCUUAAGCAAGAAUAAUUGAGGUGACUACAAACCGCUACAAACAUACACACACAUGUACCCCCUCUUACAUUACAGCGAAGACACGGCAUAGCAGGACACGAGUAUAGCAGGAGGCGCAGCAAACAGCGCAAACAGCAGGAGCGAAGAAAGAAAAUGUUACAACGAUACUCUUAGGUUUCAUUAGGUUGUGCAGUUUUGCGUUUAGGUUCCUUUAGACAUACGCACACUCAUACACCCGCGCCCCCACACAACAUACUCACACACACACACACAUCUCUGUGUAUGAUUUUAUUGAUUUUCCAUCUUCUGUAGGCUACCGGGACCAAAGUAUCCUGUCCUUGCGUUCCACCACCGUUCUUCAUGCGUGCGUUUUUAACUCGUUGUUAAAGGAGGGAAAGAGAGAGAGAGAGGGUGCAUUGCGAGCGAUCACGCAGCAGCACGAUCGUUCUCGUUGUUCGCCACUGACGGCGCAACGGUGUAGGUUAAUCAUGCUUGUUUUAGCUCACAGUAGGAUAGGAUAAAAAUCUGUUUCCCCCUUCCUUCCCGUUCGUUUCUUACAUGCCCAACGGGUUGGCCAGUUUACUUUUUGCUGUCCCAGUGUGUUGUAGAACGCAUGAGAUGCGCCUGUCUUUUGUGUGUGUGUGUAAUGUGCCACACCCCGAAGCGAUGAUGAGAUCCUGGUUUGGAUCAUUUACAUACUUCGUUUCGUUAGUAGUGCAUUUUAAGCGUGUUACAGUAGGUGGGUGUAGGAUAUGCUUCCCAUAGUCUAUUGUUACGGCUGUAUCUUUUUGCUUUUAGGGCAUUUAACAACGGCACGAGGCAGACAGCUGAAUAUAGAGCUACCUUCGCUUGUUUGAGUAACUGAACCUAAGCACACACGCGCAGUGGUUCGAGUGGUUCCCUUUUUCCUCCCACCGAGACAAAGCAACAGCACUUUUACACCCAGUCGCGAGAUGCAUCGAACCAUAUCAUCAUUCGAUGUGGGGAUGCAGCAGAAGUGCGCUUUUGGAUGAAAGUUGCAACGAAAAGCUCGAACCACCACCUGUAUGCGUGUAUGAGUGUGUGUGUGUUUGAAAACAUUCCGCGGUAAGGUGAACGAGUGAAUCGGCACAGAAUUGUUUGUUCGAACCCGUGAUACAGAGAAUUCGGUUCGCCGCGUGUGCUAAUACUCUCACUCGCUCACUCUUCGUGUCUCUAGCGGUUUGUCCAGCGUUUGGAGCGUCAAACGCCACAGAGGACAAAACAGUGUUUUUAACUCGUUUGUUAACCUCGUGAACAUAAUUGCUUCUAAUAUACGCUAGCUAAACCUGAAGGCGUUACAUAGUGUUACAUAAAGUAAAGCGUAAUUGCAUUCGCUAACGGCCAGCGUGUAGUGCGCUUUCUGUUCGCCAUUCGCUAGCAAAGAGGGUAGACUUGAUCAGAAGCUGGAACAGCGAACCGCGGUGCACUGGGUGGUAGCAUAAGUAUGCAUUUACUUUGCGCCGUUUGAAUUUGAUCAUAGUGUUGGUAGCUUAUUUUGAAACGUUCUCAUUGCGAACCAUAUGCAUUUGACUAUUUCUAGCGACUUUGGCCAUAGAUGGCCACCAAUUGUCCGAUCAAUCUUGUAACGUAGUUCCCAGCACUCACGCACACACACACACAUACACAGAGAGUGUAAUAGUGUACGAGCAAGCCACAGGCAUUUAGGGCAAACUAAUCUCAACUCUCCUCCAACCCUAAGGAGGAAGGGUCUCGCAAACAAAACGCAAAGACAAUUUCCAAAACCGGACGCGGAACAGUUGGCGCGGUGGGUUGUGUAGGUCUAUUUACCUGCCACCCCAUUACAAAUCGUCCCAAGAUAGGAACGGAACAAGAAGAAGAAGAAAAAACAACCGUGAAAGUGAUUUAUUUUCCUGAUAUGACGGACGCGCACUGUUCGGGGACUAGUUUGCAAGCAAUUUUUAUCUCGAUAUACAGCUUCAAUCUCAAUGAAAUAAGUAACAAACAAACUUACAGAAGAAAGAGAAAAAACUCAUACACACAUACAAAAAUAUUCCAAAGCUACCCCAAGCGUGUGUGUGUAAGCACUGGGAAGAAGUGCAUAAGACGGUACAGAAACCAGCCACAAAAAAAAAACAUAAAACAAAAAAAGGUCGGAACAGUAAAAACGGGGGCAAAUGAAAUUACUAAACCUUAAAGGCAAUGCGUACUUUAAUAAUAAAUAUAAAUAUACAAACUUAUUAUACAUUAUUAAUGAAAACAUUAUUUACUUAGCAAACAAAGAGAGCGAGUAAAUGUGCAAUGGACACGUUUACAUCAUAUCAGGCGAGCAGAAAGAAGUAAUACAAAACACACACAGUCACAUACACGGAACACGGAAAGAAAAUUUACACACACACACACCCUAAAGGCAUUGGAAACCCAAGGGAAGAAGGGGGAAAAAACAAACCAAACACCGAAGUGAAUUGUAUCGCAAAGCAAAAGCUAAUAUAAUAAGCAAAACAUGUGUGUGUGUUGGACAAAAAGCAUAAGCGCACGCACGCAAGUGAUACGCAAUGCUUCUGCGUUGCCGUGUGAGCCGAAUGGAGUGCGCGAUGAAAGAUGAUAAAGGUUGCAAUAUUAUAUUGAGGUAUCUCACCGAUCGGAGGGGAAAACAAGUUCGACUAAUUAAAAUGGAAGAAAAACGCAAAAGCGAAAAAAGCAUUAAUCCAAGGCUAUAUGUAACGAGCAGGAUGAGGAGGACAGACAAUGGGCAGAGCGGUCCAGCAAGAAGUCAGGAAAAAGAUGGAAGCGUGAAGAAAAGUGAAGAAACUUUAUCAUAUACCAAUUCUGCUGGGCUUAAUACUAAGAGACGGCGCGACACACUGCGGACACACUACUGAGAACAUAAAACAUCCAUACACACACACACAAACAAGAAGACACGCGUUCAAGUAUAUACACUCAUUAUUACGUUUGAACAAAUGACGUUGAUUGAAUAGAUUCAUCAGCAAUAAUAAACAAUUGUGAUAAUACAAUACAUACAAGAAGACGGAGACGGAGGAUGGAGGAAACCGCAAAAGCAUAAAAAGAAGGGAUAAGGGCCCGUGAUGGGAGCAGGAAGGAGGAAUUAUGAAGCAAUCGAAUGAAUGUAAAAGCCGUAGAAAUGAUGAUUGGAUGCUAGCAGCAUAUGUUUGUUUGACACACACAACAUUGCAGAAUAUUGAAUGAGAAGCGGAGAAGAAAGUGCUGGAAUGGACAAUGAAGACUCACACACAGACACAGUUUCGGUAAGCCAGUGACGCAACUGCUUUACACCCCGUUCGCGGGCAGUCUGAAGGGCUGUGGUACCUAAGAAUGCAAAUGGUUUGUAAUGCGCAGGAAGAAAGCACGUGGAGCUCUUCCAGGAGCACCACACGUUGCUGUUACCACUGAAGGAUGCAAUCACUGGAUCUUUUCUUCCACCAUAACUUCAAGACUUCACACUCUGUUCCCUCUAUCGCAAAACACUCUUCCACUGGUACCUUCUACCUUUCCCGGGUAGAAGGAUCUUCAAUCUUCCUUCCAUCCAUUACGGUAUAGCGAGCAGCAUAUGCUGGUUGAUCAGGACGUAUAUUGAUCACAAACGAUCGUGCGAUCUCGGCACCUAUUCUUGCAAUGUUGAGCUACUAGCGUGAACAAUGAUAAGUCUAGCUAAAUGAUACAUACAUUCCGAACCGUGAGAAAAUAUGUGUGUGAAAGAGAAAGAGAGAGGGAGAGGGCGAUUAGCUCCUUGGCUCCUUCAAGCAAAGCGUUUGGCAAUGAUGAUGGGAAAAGCGAGCGAACACGAACCAGGUGACAAAAGUGGCACGACACAAACUUACAACAACCAACACUAGAACAAGAUCAACAAAGCAGUAAAAGCAUCUCUUUCUCACGCUCUAACUCUUAGCUAUCCCUAGCGAUUGAUACCCAACCCAAUGAUUGGCCAUUAGGGGAAAGUAAACUACCAUACCAUCUCUUGUUGUCUUUUAAAACAAAACAAAAAGCUCUACGUGUGUAUAAAACUACAAGUCAAAAGGUAAAGACAAAACUCCAAACUAUUGCCAUUAAUUCUGCGCAAAUAAGUAACUACUAAGCAUACACACAAACACAUCCACAUCUAGGCAGUAGCUGCGGAGAAGGGAUUGGAGUACGAAACAAGACAAAUGCAAGUAAAGCUAGCAAGUAAAACGCUAAACGUUUCUCGUUCUGUUGUGAUUCUGAAAUUAUUUUGUUGUACGCUUUUCUUACAAGCUCUCACAUACACACACCAUUUCACUACUUGAGGCCACCGAAGCGAAGGCAAUUUUAAACAUCCUUUUCAAUGCCCUAGCACUGUUUCACGCCAGGGCGUGAAUAUUUCACCUGCAGGAGAGGGACUGAAAUGAGCGGAAGAGGUGCAACAAAGUGCAAUGGGAAGGGGAAGAAGUGCAGGAGGAUUAGGAGAGGAGGGAGUAUGGCCAUGGUGGCGAACACAUCACACCGUGCAAGCAUAUAUGCACUGGAUGAUGGGAUGAUUGGAUGGAUGGAUAAUGGAUGAACGGUGAUGAGAAAGCAAAAGCAAAAGUUUACGAAAUGUUAUCUAGUUAAGUUUGGCUACAAACAAAGAAAUUACUCUUAGCGUAAAUGAAUUCGAAAAUUUGUAAAUAGAAUAUACUUAAACACACAGUCGUACACACCUACAUAUUACACACAUACAGACCAUACACAACACGCACACACACACACACACUACAGGCUGCACCAUGCGGACGGAGCACAGGUGACCGAACCACGGGAGCAUUGGAUCCUGGGGAUUUUGCGAAACUUUGCUCCAACUCGUGUGAGGUCUUGUUCGGUGUGUGUGUGUGUGUGUG